AUUGAACGCUGGCGGCAUGCCUUACACAUGCAAGUCGAACGGCAGCACGGGUGCUUGCACCUGGUGGCGAGUGGCGAACGGGUGAGUAAUACAUCGGAACAUGUCCUGUAGUGGGGGAUAGCCCGGCGAAAGCCGGAUUAAUACCGCAUACGAUCUACGGACGAAAGCGGGGGACCUUCGGGCCUCGCGCUAUAGGGUUGGCCGAUGGCUGAUUAGCUAGUUGGUGGGGUAAAGGCCUACCAAGGCGACGCUCAGUAGCGGGUCUGAGAGGACGACCAGCCCCACUGGAACUGAGGACGGGCCCAGACCCCGAGGGGGGGCAGGAGGGGGGAAUUUUGGGAGAGGGGGGAAAGCCUAAACCAGCAAGGCGGGGGGGGUGAAAGAGGCCUUCGGGUGGUAAAGCAAUUUUGUCGGGAAGGAAAGCCUUGGCCCAAAAGCGGGGGGGGGAGGACGGUACGGGAAAAAUAACCACCGGUUACCUACGU
rnacentral:rRNA from 1 species